rnacentral:lncRNA from 1 species
CCGGCUCAGCAGCGCCGCCCCUGGCCGCCAGCGUCCCGGAGGGUCGCGCCCCGAGCCACGCCCGAGUGCCCUGGCGCGGGAGCCCAACUCGCGCGAAAGAAUAAAUGGCAGGUUUUGUAUUAGAAGGAGAAGAAGGAAGAGGAGGAAGAAGAAAAGAAAAACAAACAUCAACUUGACAAAUAAAUACACCACCACUGACCUGACUCCCAGCUUGUAAUCUACUUUUGUGUGUUGUUUUACUUCAUUCCUUAAAGUUGUCUAUUAUAUUCAUUGAAAUCUUUAUGAAAUAUUUUCAGAGAUUUCAUAUUUGCCGAGACACUAUCCUCCUUCAUGUGAUACUAACUUUUAAUAAAGACAGCAUUUCUUAUUGCUCCAUCCUAUUGAGUGCUCUUGACAUUUAUUUCAAGCAUCAAUUGUUACCAAUA